CGGGUCUUUCCACUCCUAUACCGGACUUGUUGCAUGCUCCCUCUCAUGCCAAGCUUUCAUGAGAAGAUCAUGGUCAGAGAUGCCAAGAGACUCGGAAGAGUCCCCCAGCGAAUAGGAGACAGAUCUGGAAUUCGAAUGCAGGUCUCAAAGAUCUGCACUCCUGUGUCCUCUGCACAUUCAUCACAACAGACAAGAUCUAGAAAUAACGUCAACAUCGGUCAACAGAUGACUGGGUAAUGA